GAGUUUGAUCAUGGCUCAGGAUGAACGCUAGCGGCAGGCUUAACACAUGCAAGUCGAACGGUAACAGAAAAAGCUUGCUUUUUGCUGACGAGUGGCGAACGGGUGCGUAACGCGUAUGCAACCUACCUUCUUCUAAGGAAUAGCCCAGAGAAAUUUGGAUUAAUACCUUAUGAUAAUAUUUAUUCGCAUGUUUAAAUAUUUAAAACUCCGGUGGAAGAAGAUGGGCAUGCGUAACAUUAGUUUGUUGGUGAGGUAAUGGCUCACCAAGACUACGAUGUUUAGGGGGUCUGAGAGGAUGAUCCCCCACACUGGUACUGAGACACGGACCAGACUCCUACGGGAGGCAGCAGUGAGGAAUAUUGGUCAAUGGACGAAAGUCUGAACCAGCCAUGCCGCGUGAAGGAUGACGGCUCUACGGGUUGUAAACUUCUUUUGUAUAGGAAGAAACCCCUCUACGUGUAGAGGGUUGACGGUACUAUUCGAAUAAGCACCGGCUAACUCCGUGCCAGCAGCCGCGGUAAUACGGAGGGUGCGAGCGUUAUCCGGAAUUAUUGGGUUUAAAGGGUGCGUAGGCGGAAAUUUAGGUCAGUGGUGAAAGCCUGCAGCUUAACUGUAGAAUUGCCAUUGAUACUGGAUUUCUUGAAUCUAAUAGAAGUAGGCGGAAUAUGACAUGUAGCGGUGAAAUGCUUAGAUAUGUCAUAGAACACCGAUAGCGAAGGCAGCUUACUAUGUUAGUAUUGACGCUAAUGCACGAAAGCGUGGGGAGCGAACAGGAUUAGAUACCCUGGUAGUCCACGCCGUAAACGAUGAUUACUCGCUAUUGGCGAUACACUGUCAGUGGCUAAGCGAAAGUGAUAAGUAAUCCACCUGGGGAGUACGAUCGCAAGGUUGAAACUCAAAGGAAUUGACGGGGGCCCGCACAGCGGUGGAGCAUGUGGGUUUAAUUCGAUGAUACGCGAGGAACCUUACCAGGUCUUAAUGCAUAACGAACGAUUGGGAAACCAAUCUUUUCUUCGGACGGGA
rnacentral:rRNA from 1 species